GAGUGGUACGUAAGAUUUUGUUGCUCGGUUUUUUCGAAUCCUGCUUCUUUUGCAGUGUUCUAAUACGCCGUAAACAAACUUUGCAGGGGCUUAAAAGCUUCAACAAGGCUGCACGGGAUCUCCUUCAACGACUUCAAAAGAUCGAUGGUGACAAUUAUCCCGAGGUAGUCAUUACUUCAUAUGGUCAUGAAACAUUUUUUUUAAGUCAUGAUGAAGCUUAAUUAAAUGGCUUACCAAUGUUUUUGCAGACUCUGAACCGGAUGUUUAUCAUCAAUGCCGGCUCGGGAUUUAGGCUCUUAUGGGGCACGGUUAAAUCUUUCCUCGACCCGAAGACCACUGCAAAAAUCCAUGUAAGUAUGAAUCAACCGAAUUCAGUUCUCAAUACAUAAUGUUGCUAACACAACUUUAUGGUAUAUACUUUUCAUCAGGUUUUGGGUAACAAAUACCAGAGCAAAUUGCUUGAAGUAAUUGAUGCUAAGUGAGUAUCUCUUAAUAAGUAUAUAUGUGUUUCAGUCUCUCUCUCUCUCUCUCUCUAUAUAUAUAUAUAUAUAUGUAAAUAUUUGUUUGGUUGCGGUUUUUAAACAGUGAACUACCGGAGUUUUUGGGUGGUAAUUGUACUUGUUCCAACAAAGGUGGUUGCAUGUUGUCCGAUAAGGGUCCAUGGAAUGAUCUCGAAAUAUUGAAGGUAUUGGCUAUAUUAUCUCGAAUAGGAUGAGUAUGGUAUAUGAAUACGUGUCUAACAUAUGUAUAACUUCACUGCAUAAGCAGAGGGUUCAAAAUGGUGAGGCCAAGUGCAUGAGGAGGAACACGUCUGGGGUCGACGACAAAGCAUGCCUAGAGGUAUUUUCACUACUAGGAAAAGGAAAUUUCGAUUUUCAAUCAUCAAUGCCUAACUUUUUUUUCUUUACAUUUGAUGUUGCAAAACCGAAGAUGAGUCACUCAUUCAACGUGGAAACAGCUACAGGCACGGGUGAAAGGAUUGCCGAAAACACACCUUUAUCACCUGUUGCCGAAGUAAGUGGCACUCCUUAUCAUGCCAUGUCUGAAAAUGCAUUGCAUUCAUGUUUCAUGAUGCAUUUCUUUAUGUAUUUGUAGU
rnacentral:lncRNA from 1 species